rnacentral:rRNA from 1 species
AUUGAACGCUGGCGGCGUGCUUUACACAUGCAAGUCGAACGGUAACAGGCCGCAAGGUGCUGGGGAGUGGCGAACGGGUGAGUAAUGCAUCGGAACGUGCCCAGUCUUGGGGGAUAACUACUCGAAAGAGUAGCUAAUACAGCAUACGAUCUAUGCGUGAAAGCGGGGGACCGUAAGGCGUCGCGCGAUUCGAGCGGCUGAUGUCAGGUUAGGUAGUUGGUGGGGUAAAGGCUAACCAGGCCAAAGAGCUGUAGCUGGGCUGCGAGGACGACCCGCCACACUGGAACGGGGACACGUCCCAGACUCCAACGGGAGGCAGCAGUGGGGAAUUUUGGAAAAUGGGCGCAAGCCUGAUCCAGCAAUGCGGCGUGGAGGAAGAAGGCAUCGGGUUGUAAACUGCUUUUGUACGGAACGAAACGGCUCUGGUUAAUACCCGGGGGUAAUGACGGUACCGUAAGAAUAAGCACCGGCUAACUACGUG